UACGUAGGUGGCAAGCGUUGUCCGGAUUCACUGGGCGUAAAGCGUGCGCAGGCGGUUUUGUAAGACAGAUGUGAAAUCCCCGGGCUCAACCUGGGAACUGCGUUUGUGACUGCAAGACUCGAGUGCGGCAGAGGGGGGUGGAAUUCCACGUGUAGCAGUGAAAUACGUAGAGAUCAGGAGGAAUACCGGUGGCGAAGGCGGGCAUCUGGCACAACACUGACACUUAGGCUCGAAAGCGUGGGGAUCAAACAGG
rnacentral:rRNA from 1 species